CUGUUUGUAGGUUUGUCAAUGCCACGUCUCUGAGGACGCCUGCAAAAGGCCACACAAGCAUGCAGUGUGCAGAGUAAUGCCAUAAAUUUAUAAUGGUGUGAACAUGUUUGUGUGUUGGAUUUUAGUUUUUGAACUGCAGCACUGUGACAUUUAGAAGAAAAACGUAAGCAAGCUGCUGUGUUAAGGCCUACGCUCAUGUUGUGGCACUGGGCUUGAAAAGACAACAGAAACUACUCCCGGUGCACUUGAAUGUAAGCUAAGAUAAUAUGUCAAAUAUAGCUGGAGGAUAACAUUGCUGACCUCUUCUCCACUUGAUUCUAUAUUAAAGGUUUUUCAGACUAAUAAGGUAUUUUAUUUCAAAUUAAAAAGGCAAAAGCAAAACCUUAAGAUUUUAGAGUAAACACUUUUUGUUAUUGGCUGAACAGACAGACUGUCUGGUAUGUGAUCCUAUUGUGUUUUUUCUUUAUUUGAUGAAAGUGUGCAAUCAAUUUCAUCACAGCUCUCGUGGUCCAUGAUGAGAUUUUUUUUAGCUUUAUUUUUGUCUUCACCAUUAUAAAUAGCCCAGCUGUCCAUUUUCUUUUUUUUUUUUCUUCUUCUUCUUUUUUUUCAACAGUUUUCAUUAAAAGAAUUAAUACUGUUUACUUACUUAUCUGUAUUUAAGGGACAGGAAGGUAAAAAUCUAACAUAAGCCUCCUAUCCCCCUGUAUGCUGGCCUCUCUCUGGAGGUCUGUGGUUGGGGAAUUAUAGGCAGGCUGUAAGAGGCAUCUUUUUGGGACCAUUAGUCAAAGACGGGGACACUAUCAAGGCUUUGAUUAUAGUGGUAUGGAAUAUUCUCCCAGGAUCCACUCUUCUUUGUGCCAUUCAUCAAUUACCACCACUGCAGCAGCAACAUAGUCGCUAUUGUUCAUGUGCAUUUAAACACAGCAAUACAGACACACACACACACGCACACACAUGCACACGAGUGGAUGUAUACACAUUAUGCAGAGCAUGCACAAGCACUCUCAGACAUCCAUGCCCAUUAUCACAUACAGGCACUGAGGCAUGUGCAUGCACACACAUGCAAAUGGCAGGUGAAAUGGUAUGUGUGUACCCACCUGGUGUCUUCACACAAAUACAAAACUGUUCCAGAGGGUAAGCGUGCUGGAGUUUUCUGUUUAUGAUUACCAGAUCCUGGUACUGUUCAAUACCAUGGCAACACUACUGAGCCAGAAUAGUUAAUCAAUAACUAGGUGGCUAAGUAAACACUGAAAAGAUAUUCAUGGAUUGCAGAAGAUGACUCCUAAUGAUGCUGGUAAUUUUUAGCCAAUCAGGUUAAGGGCCAUGGUGGCAUGGGGAGGUUUGUAUCAGUCAGCAUGGGUCUGCUGCCAACAGUAAUUACUGCGGCUUAUUAAAAAAGCCUCACCUCUGCUAAUUUCAGUCAAUGAAACUUUGGACCAUAUGCCGGUAUGUUAUACUGCAUCACUUUUAAUAGAGUUUUUUUUUUUUGUUUUUUUUGUUUUUUUGGCCUGUCCCGUUUGGCUCUUUUGCCAUCAGAAUUGUUGUCUAAAGGCAAAGAAAGAUGCCCAACGGAUUUACUUUACCAAACUGACCAUCCCAGCCUUGCCGUAAUGGUCCAUUUGAUUCACCUUUUAUUGUUUAUUUUAUUUUCACUUACUGAAUACGGGACAGACUUGACUGGGGGAAAGAAGGGGAGAAAAAAAGAGGGAAAGAGAAACAGCUGAGAAGAGGGACGGGGGAGAAGGGC
ensembl:lncRNA